rnacentral:rRNA from 1 species
GCCUAAAGCGUCCGUAGCCGGCUUUGUAAGUUUUCGGUUAAAUCUAUAUGCUCAACAUAUAGGCUGCCGGGAAUACUGCAAAGCUAGGGAGUGGGAGAGGUAGACGGUACUCCGUAGGAAGGGGUAAAAUCCUUUGAUCUAUGGAUGACCACCUGUGGCGAAGGCGGUCUACCAGAACACGUUCGACGGUGAGGGAUGAAAGCUGGGGGAGCAAACCGGAUUAGAUACCCGGGUAGUCCCAGCUGUAAACGAUGCAGACUCGGUGAUGCGCUGGCUUGUGGCCAGUGCAGUGCCGCAGGGAAGCCGUUAAGUUUGCCGCCUGGGAAGUACGUACGCAAGUAUGAAACUUAAAGGAAUUGGCGGGGGAGCACCACAAGGGGUGAAGCCUGCGGUUCAAUUGGAGUCAACGCCAGAAAUCUUACCCGAAGAGACAGCAGAAUGAAGGUCAAGCUGGAGACUUUACCAGACAAGCUGAGAAGUGGUGCAUGGCCGUCGCCAGCUCGUGCCGUGAGAUGUCCUGUUAAGUCAGGUAACGAGCGAGAUCCCUGCCUCUAGUUGCCACCAUUACUCUCAGGAGUAGUGGGGCGAAUUAGCGGGACCGCCGCAGUUAAUGCGGAGGAAGGAAGGGGCCACGGCAGGUCAGUAUGCCCCGAA